rnacentral:lncRNA from 1 species
GUGGGAAAGUGCGGGCAGCACCCUCGGUUGUGCUGUGGCGGCCUCAGGGAUGCUUUGGAACAGGGGGAGAUCUGGAGGGAUACCAGUCCUGAAGCCCCAGCGACGUUCAGGCCAGCUCUUCAGCUGCAGGAGCGCCCGGGAGAGAUCCAUUCUCCUGAGAAAUGUGUUGCAUUCCUCUAUUUUGCUGCCUUUUGUGUUUAACCGGCAGACCCUCUCCUUAAGCGUGCCAAGAGCAUCCAGGCCCGGGAAUUUUUAGUCUCCUUCGCCGUGCCGCCCCUCUCCGCCGUGCAAGCGGCUUUCCCGCUCCCCGAGAGGGCUGCAGGUGUAGGCAGGCGGCCCGGCUUGCCCGCUCCCUCCGCCGCGCAGCAUCCCAGCUCCGCCGGGGACGGGCCGUCCGCCCCAUGGUGCACAGUCGCCCCCGGUGCGGUUCGGGUGCGGAGGGUCGCGGAGCGCCCCGCACCUCGCCGCGCCGCGCCCGCUCUCCUCGGGGCAGGGAGGUUGGCAGCUCCCUUCCCUUUUUUUUGAGGGGUGUGGGGGUGUAAUGCUGCAAGGUGCGUUCGCGGAGCCGCGAUCCAGNNNNNNNNNNNNNNNNNNNNNNNNNNNNNNNNNNNNNNNGACGAGAGAGAGAGAGAGAGAGAGAGAGGGAGGGGGGAGAGAGUGAGAAAUGCAGAGGCAGCAGCCGCGGUAGCGGCGGCAGUGCUCCAGCAGGCACUAGGCACUCCAGUCCCAGCGAGCGAGCGGGCGAGAGCCACAGCGCUCCGAGCGAGGCGAGGGGGGCUCUGGGCUACCUGGGACUCUCUUUGUGACACACCAGCACACAAACACUCCGACAGGGACAGAGGAAAAACACAUAAAGCUUUGGCCCAUGCAGUGAACCAUGAAGUCUUUCAGCAGAACCUCCUGCGUACCGACGGCUUCCGUCUGAACAAUGGUAAAUUCUUCCCUUGUGCCGGCACCCACCCAUGGCCCAAUGGCAUGCACUGAGCAGGGGAGGAAAAAAAAGGCUGAUUGCAGGGUAAAACCAGCCUUCCCAUGAAAUCUUGGGUGAGUUCUAUGUGGUUACAUUUUUACACAAUCAGCUACCAUUGAAUUAG